rnacentral:lncRNA from 1 species
UUAUUUCCCCCUCCCUGCUCCCCUAUAUAGCCUAGCUUCUCUUCCUAAUGGAAUCCACUAGGAGGUUAUUAUGCCAUGUUUAUGACAUCACAUUUCUCUGUCACAGCACACAGAAGAGCACUUCUCUCAGGACCCAGGAAUUGAGGACUCUGGGUUCAAAUUUCUUCUUAGCUACUUACUACAAAGGGCCAAGCACUGAAAUGCUGAAUGAAUGACUUUUUCCCCCUUUUCCCCUAAAUAUCUUAAAAGAAGAGCCAGUGAAGCCCAAAAAUCACAAUAAGCAAAGCUACUUGGGAAUCGGUUUCUCAAGUUUUUCUGAACAUCCUAGGAUUUUGAGGAAGAUUUGCAGAACCCAGGCCUCCACAUUCAGGGUUACCUAAUACUGAUCGAAGUGAUAGGAGGAUGUGUUAUGAAAAUUGUAAUAACAAUACAAUAUAUUUCUUGAGUGAAAACACUCCAGUUAUAACAAGAGGAUAUUCCAUUUGUUGGAAGAUGUGCUCCAAAUGGCAAAGGAUGUCACCCUUCAGAGGUCCUUAUGAUCCACUGAAGUUCUUUCUCUGGAAGUGGAUGGCAGUCCCUAUUAAUGCCUUUCAGAAUUGUCCAAGAUCAUCGCAUUGCUGUGAGUAGCGUUUUUUAUAAUCAUUGCCCAAUAUUGUUGUUAUUGUGUACAAUGUUGUCCUAGUUCUCUUAUUCACUCUGCAUCAGUUCCUGCAGAUCUUUCCAGCUUUUUCUGAAAUCAUAUUGCUUAUCAUUUCUUAUAACACAAUACUAUUCCAUCACCAACAGCCAUUCCCCAAUUGAUGGACAUUCCCUCAUUUUCUAAUUCUUUGCCACCACAAAAAGAGAAUCUAUAAAUAUUUUUGUUACAAGUAGGUUUUUUUACCCUUUUUAUUAUCUCUUUGAGAUCAUACCCAUAGUGGCAUUAUUGUACAACAGAUAUGUACAGCUUUAUAGGCCUUUGUAUAUA